rnacentral:rRNA from 1 species
UCGCUGUGAAGAUGCAGUGUACCCGCGGCAAGACGGAAAGACCCCGUGAACCUUUACUAUAGCUUGACACUGAACAUUGAGCCUUGAUGUGUAGGAUAGGUGGGAGGCUUGGAAGUGUGGACGCCAGUCUGCAUGGAGCCGACCUUGAAAUACCACCCUUUAAUGUUUGAUGUUCUAACGUUGACCCGUGAUCCGGGUUGCGGACAGUGUCUGGUGGGUAGUUUGACUGGGGCGGUCUCCUCCUAAAGAGUAACGGAGGAGCACGAAGGUUGGCUAAUCCUGGUCGGACAUCAGGAGGUUA